rnacentral:sRNA from 1 species
CCCCUCUAGGUCUCUCUAUCGAGUCGAUAUACUCACGAUUUACUAGUCAUUGUUGCUCACAACUCUAUCUCCACUCUCAGACUGCAGUCUGCAAGCAUAAACCAUCACUCUCAGGCCUCGGCCUACGGUAUCUCGGGUAUCACACGUAUUAUCUUCCCCACUCAAAGUCAAACCCUGAGUUGUGCCGGCUCACUCUCAGCCACAAAGUCAUCGAGUUACGACACUUGGAGAAAAUGAUACCUCAAAACUCGCUCUCGGGUCGUCACCCUAAGCGCGCUCUCAGAUCGUCCCCCGAAGCCACAGUACCCCUCGCACUCUAAAGACACCAAGUCCCUCGAGUUACCGGUACCUCAGGAGCAUACCACGCUCCUCACGAGUCGUUGGGACCCUCAUGUCCCUCGAGCAAACAAUACUAAACGCUUCCGAGCAUAUCUCCAGACUCUCUCAUGGAUUCGCGUAUGACACCUUUAUGCCUCACCAUCCAUCAUAUCCACUCGGGAAUAUCCUUAUGACCAACUCCCAGCCAUCUCGUAAACACACAUCUCUCAUAGGUUGUUUACUCAAACUUUCCAAAAAUAGACAUGUCCUUUCUUGGAAACAUUCUAUUUUUAGAAACCGUAUAACACAUUCUUAAAUAAGACAACUCAAGUCAAACCCAAGAAAAAUACUCAUCUUAUUAAUCAUCAACUGUCAUGAUCGUUACAACUCCAAACGAAAAUACAAAUGAAAGAGAAAUAAGAACAACAACUUAAAAGCUCAAAAACUCAACAACUCUGAAACUGGAAACCAAGGAUAGGCAAACUCAAGCAGUAACCUGCUUCUCGAACAGAUCUCACAUGAGUCGAUAUGAAGGUCAUGAAGGCUUUGCAAACACCACAAAACACAAUGCAAUUCCGCCGAGAUUCUAUUCACCAUUGGGAGGCAUCACCUACAUGAUUCAAAAUAAUUAUUGUAUAUCAAUAUAUGUUAUGUUUGGCAAGCAUGUGGAUCUUGGAUCCAACCCCUAGAAUUUGUAAUAAAAUAUGGGACUAUGAAGAACAAAAGUACCAAAAUGUUUGUGAUUAUCUUUAGCUUUAGCGUACUAGAAAUAUAAAACACUGAAUUAUUGAUUUGAAUUCCCAAAUAUUUUGUCUCUUUCUAAUGCCCAAGGACUCUAAAUUUCUACAAACUAAAUAUCAAAAUGGCUAAUAAAUGUAAUUGUUCCUUAUAAAUGUGUCUGUUUUGACUGCGUAAUAUGUGUUGCAGUGUUCAAAUUCGAUUCCUUCUUGGGUUUUCGUAUAGGCUUUUCCCUUAAGACUCACAAUGGCCCAGCUUGUUUACUUCAGAUGUUCGGCCUUUCCCGAGUUCCUGGCCAGACUCUUCAAGCUCCCUCGUUGAUGACUCAGAUCACCACUGCGGGCCCUCACAUUAUGACAUGGUUGUUUCCUCAUGGAUCCCGUACUCUCGGUUCAAGACAUGUAUCAACAAAGUCUCUUUUUUUUGU